rnacentral:rRNA from 1 species
UACGAAGGGGACUAGCGUUGUUCGGAAUUACUGGGCGUAAAGCGCACGUAGGCGGAUUUGUUAGUCAGGGGUGAAAUCCCGGGGCUCAACCUCGGAACUGCCUUUGAUACUGCAAAUCUCGAGUCCGAUAGAGGUGGGUGGAAUUCCUAGUGUAGAGGUGAAAUUCGUAGAUAUUAGGAAGAACACCAAUGGCGAAGGCAGCUCACUGGGACGGUAUUGACGCUGAGACGCGAAAGCGUGGGGAGCAAACAGG